GCCGCAAUUCAGAAUCAGAGAGCUGAUUUUCCACAUUUACAAAGACUGUGGUAUUGUUUCUCACAUCCAUAAUGUACAAGCUCUUGAUAAGAUGAAGAGGCCUCACAUAAAGUUGUCCAAAAUGGAUCAUAUUUGUUCCUUCGCCAUUCAUACGCGUCUGCACUAGUUAGCAUAAGACCCGAUUCCAAUCUUGUUACUCAUUCACACCCG
rnacentral:lncRNA from 1 species